GGCCGCGUGGCUUAAUGGCAUAGCGCUUGACUACGAUUCAAAAAAAAUUUAUUGUUAUCAAGAGAUUCUGGGUUCGAUCCCCAGCGUGGUCA